rnacentral:rRNA from 1 species
GACGAACGCUGGCGGCAUGCCUAAUACAUGCAAGUCGAGCGAACAGAUGAAGUGCUUGCACUUCUGACGUUAGCGGCGAACGGGUGAGUAACACGUAAGGAAUCUACCUAUAAGCGGGGGAUAACAUUCGGAAACGGGUGCUAAUACCGCAUAAUAUCUUCUUCCGCAUGGACGAAGAUUGAAAGACGGCUCUGCUGUCACUUAUAGAUGACCUUGCGGUGCAUUAGUUAGUUGGUGGGGUAACGGCCUACCAAGACGAUGAUGCAUAGCCGACCUGAGAGGGUGAUCGGCCACAUUGGGACUGAGACACGGCCCAAACUCCUACGGGAGGCAGCAGUAGGGAAUCUUCCGCAAUGGGCGAAAGCCUGACGGAGCAAUGCCGCGUGAGUGAAGAAGGCCUUCGGGUCGUAAAACUCUGUUAUAAGAGAAGAACAAAUUGUAGAGUAACUGCUACAGUCUUGACGGUAUCUUAUCAGAAAGCCACGGCUAACUACGUG